ACGGGAGGCAGCAGUGGGGAAUAUUGCACAAUGGGGGAAACCCUGAUGCAGCGACGCCGCGUGAGUGAAGAAGUAUUUCGGUAUGUAAAGCUCUAUCAGCAGGGAAGAUAAUGACGGUACCUGACUAAGAAGCACCGGCUAAAUACGUGCCAGCAGCCGCGGUAAUACGUAUGGUGCAAGCGUUAUCCGGAUUUACUGGGUGUAAAGGGAGCGUAGACGGCAAUGCAAGUCUGAUGUGAAAUCUCCGGGCUCAACCCGGAAACUGCAUUGGAAACUGUAUAGCUAGAGUGCAGGAGAGGUAAGCGGAAUUCCUAGUGUAGCGGUGAAAUGCGUAGAUAUUAGGAGGAACACCAGUGGCGAAGGCGGCUUACUGGACGAUAACUGACGUUGAGGCUCGAAAGCGUGGGGAGCAAACAGGAUUAGAUACCCUGGUA
rnacentral:rRNA from 1 species